rnacentral:rRNA from 5 species
UCUGAUUAGCUAGUUGGUGGGGUAAAGGCCCACCAAGGCGACGAUCAGUAGCUGGUCUGAGAGGACGAUCAGCCACACUGGGACUGAGACACGGCCCAGACUCCUACGGGAGGCAGCAGUGGGGAAUUUUGGACAAUGGGGGCAACCCUGAUCCAGCAAUGCCGCGUGUGUGAAGAAGGCCUUCGGGUUGUAAAGCACUUUUGUCCGGAAAGAAAUCGCGCUGGUUAAUACCUGGCGUGGAUGACGGUACCGGAAGAAUAAGCACCGGCUAACUACGUGCCAGCAGCCGCGGUAAUACGUAGGGUGCGAGCGUUAAUCGGAAUUACUGGGCGUAAAGCGUGCGCAGGCGGUUUUGUAAGACAGGCGUGAAAUCCCCGGGCUUAACCUGGGAAUUGCGCUUGUGACUGCAAGGCUA